GACGAACGCUGGCGGCGCGCCUAACACAUGCAAGUCGAACGAGAGAGAGGAAGCUUGCUUCCUCAAUCGAGUGGCGAACGGGUGAGUAACGCGUGAGGAACCUGCCUCAAAGAGGGGGACAACAGUUGGAAACGACUGCUAAUACCGCAUAAGCCCACGGCUCGGCAUCGAGCAGAGGGAAAAGGAGCAAUCCGCUUUGAGAUGGCCUCGCGUCCGAUUAGCUAGUUGGUGAGGUAAUGGCCCACCAAGGCGACGAUCGGUAGCCGGACUGAGAGGUUGAACGGCCACAUUGGGACUGAGACACGGCCCAGACUCCUACGGGAGGCAGCAGUGGGGAAUAUUGCACAAUGGGGGAAACCCUGAUGCAGCGACGCCGCGUGGAGGAAGAAGGUCUUCGGAUUGUAAACUCCUGUUGUUGAGGAAGAUAAUGACGGUACUCAACAAGGAAGUGACGGCUAACUACGUGCCAGCAGCCGCGGUAAAACGUAGGUCACAAGCGUUGUCCGGAAUUACUGGGUGUAAAGGGAGCGCAGGCGGGAAGACAAGUUGGAAGUGAAAUCUAUGGGCUCAACCCAUAAACUGCUUUCAAAACUGUUUUUCUUGAGUAGUGCAGAGGUAGGCGGAAUUCCCGGUGUAGCGGUGGAAUGCGUAGAUAUCGGGAGGAACACCAGUGGCGAAGGCGGCCUACUGGGCACCAACUGACGCUGAGGCUCGAAAGUGUGGGUAGCAAACAGGAUUAGAUACCCUGGUAGUCCACACCGUAAACGAUGAUUACUAGGUGUUGGAGGAUUGACCCCCUCAGUGCCGCAGUUAACACAAUAAGUAAUCCACCUGGGGAGUACGACCGCAAGGUUGAAAACUCAAAGGAAUUGACGGGGGCCCGCACAAGCAGUGGAGUAUGUGGUUUAAUUUGACGCAACGCGAAGAACCUUACCAAGUCUUGACAUCCCUUGACGAACAUAGAAAUAUGUUUUCUCUUCGGAGCAAGGAGACAGGUGGUGCAUGGUUGUCGUCAGCUCGUGUCGUGAGAUGUUGGGUUAAGUCCCGCAACGAGCGCAACCCUUACUGUCAGUUACUACGCAAGAGGACUCUGGCAGGACUGCCGUUGACAAAACGGAGGAAGGUGGGGAGGACGUCAAAUCAUCAUGCCCUUUAUGACUUGGGCUACACACGUACUACAAUGGCGUUAAACAAAGAGAAGCAAGACCGCGAGGUGGAGCAAAACUCAGAAACAACGUCCCAGUUCGGACUGCAGGCUGCAACUCGCCUGCACGAAGUCGGAAUUGCUAGUAAUCGUGGAUCAGCAUGCCACGGUGAAUACGUUCCCGGGCCUUGCACA
rnacentral:rRNA from 1 species